rnacentral:rRNA from 1 species
AACGAACGCUGGCGGCGCGCCUAACACAUGCAAGUCGAACGAGAAUCCGGGGCAACCCGGUAGUAAAGUGGCAAACGGGUGAGGAAUACAUGGGUAACCUGCCUUUCAGUGGGGGAUAACAGUUCGAAAGGGCUGCUAAUACCGCAUUCGUCGACGAGCACUCAUGUGCUUGUGGAGAAAGGGGCGCAAGUCUCGCUGGAAGAUGGGCCCGCGGUCCAUUAGCUAGUUGGUGGGUAAAGGCCUACCAAGGCUUCGAUGGAUAGCUGGUCUGAGAGGAUGAUCAGCCACACUGGAACUGAGACACGGUCCAGACUCCUACGGGAGGCAGCAGUGGGGAAUAUUGGGCAAUGGGCGAAAGCCUGACCCAGCCACGCCGCGUGAGUGAUGAAGGCCCUCGGGUCGUAAAGGCUCUGUGGAGAGGGACGAAAACCCNGGUUUCAAAUAGGCUCCAGGCUUGACGGUACCUCUUUAGCAAGCACCGGCUAACUCUGUGCCAG